GACGAACGCUGGCGGCGUGCUUAACACAUGCAAGUCGAACGGUAAGGCCUUUCGGGGUACCCGAGUGGCGAACGGGUGAGUAACACGUGGGUGAUCUGCCCUGCACUUCGGGAUAAGCCCGGGAAACUGGGUCUAAUACCGGAUAGGACUGCGCGGUGCAUGCCGUGUGGUGGAAAGAUUUAUCGGUGCAGGAUGGGCCCGCGGCCUAUCAGCUUGUUGGUGGGGUAAUGGCCUACCAAGGCGACGACGGGUAGCCGGCCUGAGAGGGCUACCGGCCACACUGGGACUGAGACACGGCCCAGACUCCUACGGGAGGCAGCAGUGGGGAAUAUUGCACAAUGGGCGCAAGCCUGAUGCAGCGACGCCGCGUGAGGGAUGACGGCCUUCGGGUUGUAAACCUCUUUCAGCAGGGACGAAGCGUGAGUGACGGUACCUGCAGAAGAAGCACCGGCCAACUACGUG
rnacentral:rRNA from 1 species